AUUGAACGCUGGCGGCAGGCCUAACACAUGCAAGUCGAGCGGAGCGGCGGACGGGUAAGUAAUGCCUAGGAAUCUGCCUGGUAGUGGGGAAUAACGUCCGGCAACGGGCACUAAUACCGCAUACUAUCAGAUGAGCCUAGGUCGGAUUAGCUAGUUGGUGGGGUAAAGGCCUACCAAGGCGACGAUCGUUAACUGGUCUGAGAGGAUGAUCAGUCAAACUGGAACUGAGACACGGUCCAGACUCUUAGGGGAGGCAGCAGGGGGGAAUAUUGGACAAUGGGCGAAAGCCGGAUCCAGCCAUGCCGCGUGUGGGAAGAAGGUCUUCGGAUUGUAAAGCACUUUAAGUUGGGAGGCGUUACCAACAUAAUAAGCACCGGCUAACUUCGUGCCAGCAGCCGCGGUAAUAC
rnacentral:rRNA from 1 species